UGAGCCCAUGAGGUCUAGUGGCGUAUGAGUUGUGGACGAUGAAUACUACGUCUCUGGCUAUCUGAGGUCCAA